rnacentral:rRNA from 1 species
GGGUUGUGAGGUUAAGCGACUAAGCGUACACGGUGGAUGCCCUGGCAGUCAGAGGCGAUGAAGGACGUGCUAAUCUGCGAUAAGCGUCGGUAAGGUGAUAUGAACCGUUAUAACCGGCGAUUUCCGAAUGGGGAAACCCAGUGUGAUUCGUCACACUAUCAUUAACUGAAUCCAUAGGUUAAUGAGGCGAACCGGGGGAACUGAAACAUCUAAGUACCCCGAGGAAAAGAAAUCAACCGAGAUUCCCCCAGUAGCGGCGAGCGAACGGGGAGGAGCCCAGAGCCUGAAUCAGUGUGUGUGUUAGUGGAAGCGUCUGGAAAGGCGCGCGAUACAGGGUGACAGCCCCGUACACAAAAAUGCACAUACUGUGAGCUCGAUGAGUAGGGCGGGACACGUGGUAUCCUGUCUGAAUAUGGGGGGACCAUCCUCCAAGGCUAAAUACUCCUGACUGACCGAUAGUGAACCAGUACCGUGAGGGAAAGGCGAAAAGAACCCCGGCGAGGGGAGUGAAAAAGAACCUGAAACCGUGUACGUACAAGCAGUGGGAGCCUCUUUAUGGGGUGACUGCGUACCUUUUGUAUAAUGGGUCAGCGACUUAUAUUCUGUAGCAAGGUUAACCGAAUAGGGGAGCCGAAGGGAAACCGAGUCUUAACUGGGCGUUAAGUUGCAGGGUAUAGACCCGAAACCCGGUGAUCUAGCCAUGGGCAGGUUGAAGGUUGGGUAACACUAACUGGAGGACCGAACCGACUAAUGUUGAAAAAUUAGCGGAUGACUUGUGGCUGGGGGUGAAAGGCCAAUCAAACCGGGAGAUAGCUGGUUCUCCCCGAAAGCUAUUUAGGUAGCGCCUCGUGAAUUCAUCUCCGGGGGUAGAGCACUGUUUCGGCAAGGGGGUCAUCCCGACUUACCAACCCGAUGCAAACUGCGAAUACCGGAGAAUGUUAUCACGGGAGACACACGGCGGGUGCUAACGUCCGUCGUGAAGAGGGAAACAACCCAGACCGCCAGCUAAGGUCCCAAAGUCAUGGUUAAGUGGGAAACGAUGUGGGAAGGCCCAGACAGCCAGGAUGUUGGCUUAGAAGCAGCCAUCAUUUAAAGAAAGCGUAAUAGCUCACUGGUCGAGUCGGCCUGCGCGGAAGAUGUAACGGGGCUAAACCAUGCACCGAAGCUGCGGCAGCGACGCUUAUGCGUUGUUGGGUAGGGGAGCGUUCUGUAAGCCUGCGAAGGUGUACUGUGAGGUAUGCUGGAGGUAUCAGAAGUGCGAAUGCUGACAUAAGUAACGAUAAAGCGGGUGAAAAGCCCGCUCGCCGGAAGACCAAGGGUUCCUGUCCAACGUUAAUCGGGGCAGGGUGAGUCGACCCCUAAGGCGAGGCCGAAAGGCGUAGUCGAUGGGAAACAGGUUAAUAUUCCUGUACUUGGUGUUACUGCGAAGGGGGGACGGAGAAGGCUAUGUUGGCCGGGCGACGGUUGUCCCGGUUUAAGCGUGUAGGCUGGUUUUCCAGGCAAAUCCGGAAAAUCAAGGCUGAGGCGUGAUGACGAGGCACUACGGUGCUGAAGCAACAAAUGCCCUGCUUCCAGGAAAAGCCUCUAAGCAUCAGGUAACAUCAAAUCGUACCCCAAACCGACACAGGUGGUCAGGUAGAGAAUACCAAGGCGCUUGAGAGAACUCGGGUGAAGGAACUAGGCAAAAUGGUGCCGUAACUUCGGGAGAAGGCACGCUGAUAUGUAGGUGAAGCGACUUGCUCGUGGAGCUGAAAUCAGUCGAAGAUACCAGCUGGCUGCAACUGUUUAUUAAAAACACAGCACUGUGCAAACACGAAAGUGGACGUAUACGGUGUGACGCCUGCCCGGUGCCGGAAGGUUAAUUGAUGGGGUUAGCGGUAACGCGAAGCUCUUGAUCGAAGCCCCGGUAAACGGCGGCCGUAACUAUAACGGUCCUAAGGUAGCGAAAUUCCUUGUCGGGUAAGUUCCGACCUGCACGAAUGGCGUAAUGAUGGCCAGGCUGUCUCCACCCGAGACUCAGUGAAAUUGAACUCGCUGUGAAGAUGCAGUGUACCCGCGGCAAGACGGAAAGACCCCGUGAACCUUUACUAUAGCUUGACACUGAACAUUGAGCCUUGAUGUGUAGGAUAGGUGGGAGGCUUUGAAGUGUGGACGCCAGUCUGCAUGGAGCCGACCUUGAAAUACCACCCUUUAAUGUUUGAUGUUCUAACGUUGGCCCCUGAUCGGGGUUGCGGACAGUGUCUGGUGGGUAGUUUGACUGGGGCGGUCUCCUCCUAAAGAGUAACGGAGGAGCACGAAGGUUGGCUAAUCCUGGUCGGACAUCAGGAGGUUAGUGCAAUGGCAUAAGCCAGCUUGACUGCGAGCGUGACGGCGCGAGCAGGUGCGAAAGCAGGUCAUAGUGAUCCGGUGGUUCUGAAUGGAAGGGCCAUCGCUCAACGGAUAAAAGGUACUCCGGGGAUAACAGGCUGAUACCGCCCAAGAGUUCAUAUCGACGGCGGUGUUUGGCACCUCGAUGUCGGCUCAUCACAUCCUGGGGCUGAAGUAGGUCCCAAGGGUAUGGCUGUUCGCCAUUUAAAGUGGUACGCGAGCUGGGUUUAGAACGUCGUGAGACAGUUCGGUCCCUAUCUGCCGUGGGCGCUGGAGAACUGAGGGGGGCUGCUCCUAGUACGAGAGGACCGGAGUGGACGCAUCACUGGUGUUCGGGUUGUCAUGCCAAUGGCACUGCCCGGUAGCUAAAUGCGGAAGAGAUAAGUGCUGAAAGCAUCUAAGCACGAAACUUGCCCCGAGAUGAGUUCUCCCUGACUCCUUGAGAGUCCUGAAGGAACGUUGAAGACGACGACGUUGAUAGGCCGGGUGUGUAAGCGCAGCGAUGCGUUGAGCUAACCGGUACUAAUGAACCGUGAGGCUUAACCUUACAACGCCGAAGCUGUU